GAGCGCACCUUCGGGUGAGCGGCGGACGGGUUAGUAACGCGUGGGAACAUACCCUUUGGUACGGAAUAGCCUCUGGAAACGGAGAGUAAUACCGUAUGAGCCCUUCGGGGGAAAGAUUUAUCGCCAAAGGAUUGGCCCGCGUUAGAUUAGGUAGUUGGUGGGGUAAUGGCCUACCAAGCCUACGAUCUAUAGCUGGUUUUAGAGGAUGAUCAGCAACACUGGGACUGAGACACGGCCCAGACUCCUACGGGAGGCAGCAGUGGGGAAUCUUGGACAAUGGGGGCAACCCUGAUCCAGCCAUGCCGCGUGAGUGAUGAAGGCCUUAGGGUCGUAAAGCUCUUUCGCCUGUGAAGAUAAUGACGGUAGCAGGUAAAGAAACCCCGGCUAACUCCGUGCCAGCAGCCGCGGUAAUACGGAGGGGGUUAGCGUUGUUCGGAAUUACUGGGCGUAAAGCGCACGUAGGCGGACUGGAAAGUUGGGGGUGAAAUCCCAGGGCUCAACCCUGGAACUGCCUCCAAAACUAUCAGUCUAGAGUUCGAGAGAGGUGAGUGGAAUUCCGAGUGUAGAGGUGAA
rnacentral:rRNA from 1 species